UGCACCCAUGAUUGUAAGGUGCUUUGGAUAAAAGCAUCUGCAAAAUGACAUGUA
rfam:Salmo salar isolate Sally breed double haploid chromosome ssa06, whole genome shotgun sequence.